rnacentral:rRNA from 1 species
GGGUUGUGAGGUUAAGCGACUAAGCGUACACGGUGGAUGCCCUGGCAGUCAGAGGCGAUGAAGGGCGUGCUAAUCUGCGAUAAGCGCCGGUAAGGUGAUAUGAACCGUUAUAACCGGCGAUACCCGAAUGGGGAAACCCAGUGUGAUUCGUCACACUAUCAUUAACUGAAUCCAUAGGUUAAUGAGGCGAACCGGGGGAACUGAAACAUCUAAGUACCCCGAGGAAAAGAAAUCAACCGAGAUUCCCCCAGUAGCGGCGAGCGAACGGGGAGGAGCCCAGAGCCUGAAUCAGCAUGUGUGUUAGUGGAAGCGUCUGGAAAGGUGCGCGAUACAGGGUGACAGCCCCGUACACAAAAGCGCAUGUGCUGUGAGCUCGAUGAGUAGGGCGGGACACGUGGUAUCCUGUCUGAAUAUGGGGGGACCAUCCUCCAAGGCUAAAUACUCCUGACUGACCGAUAGUGAACCAGUACCGUGAGGGAAAGGCGAAAAGAACCCCGGCGAGGGGAGUGAAAAAGAACCUGAAACCGUGUACGUACAAGCAGUGGGAGCCCCACCACUAAGCCAGUGGUGAACUCCACAUCCGCAUCCUUUGCUGAGGAUACGGUUAACGGAGCGAAAGCGACGUUCAACCGCAAAACAAGCAGAGGGGGCUUAGUGGUGGGGUGACUGCGUACCUUUUGUAUAAUGGGUCAGCGACUUAUAUUCUGUAGCAAGGUUAACCGAAUAGGGGAGCCGGAGGGAAACCGAGUCUUAAUUGGGCGUUAAGUUGCAGGGUAUAGACCCGAAACCCGGUGAUCUAGCCAUGGGCAGGUUGAAGGUUGGGUAACACUAACUGGAGGACCGAACCGACUAAUGUUGAAAAAUUAGCGGAUGACCUGUGGCUGGGGGUGAAAGGCCAAUCAAACCGGGAGAUAGCUGGUUCUCCCCGAAAGCUAUUUAGGUAGCGCCUCGUGAAUUCAUCUCCGGGGGUAGAGCACUGUUUCGGCUAGGGGGCCAUCCCGGCUUACCAACCCGAUGCAAACUGCGAAUACCGGAGAAUGUUAUCACGGGAGACACACGGCGGGUGCUAACGUCCGUCGUGAAGAGGGAAACAACCCAGACCGCCAGCUAAGGUCCCAAAGUCAUGGUUAAGUGGGAAACGAUGUGGGAAGGCCCAGACAGCCAGGAUGUUGGCUUAGAAGCAGCCAUCAUUUAAAGAAAGCGUAAUAGCUCACUGGUCGAGUCGGCCUGCGCGGAAGAUGUAACGGGGCUAAACCAUGCACCGAAGCUGCGGCAGCGACGCUGAUGCGUUGUUGGGUAGGGGAGCGUUCUGUAAGCCUGCGAAGGUGACCUGUGAGGGUUGCUGGAGGUAUCAGAAGUGCGAAUGCUGACAUAAGUAACGAUAAAGCGGGUGAAAAGCCCGCUCGCCGGAAGACCAAGGGUUCCUGUCCAACGUUAAUCGGGGCAGGGUGAGUCGACCCCUAAGGCGAGGCCGAAAGGCGUAGUCGAUGGGAAACGGGUUAAUAUUCCCGUACUUGGUGUUACUGCGAAGGGGGGACGGAGAAGGCUAUGUUGGCCGGGCGACGGUUGUCCCGGUUUAAGCGUGUAGGUGUGUGUUCCAGGUAAAUCCGGUUCACUUUAACACUGAGGCGUGACGACGAGGCACUACGGUGCUGAAGCAACAAAUGCCCUGCUUCCAGGAAAAGCCUCUAAGCAUCAGGUAACAUCAAAUCGUACCCCAAACCGACACAGGUGGUCAGGUAGAGAAUACCAAGGCGCUUGAGAGAACUCGGGUGAAGGAACUAGGCAAAAUGGUGCCGUAACUUCGGGAGAAGGCACGCUGACACGUAGGUGAAGUGAUUUACUCAUGGAGCUGAAGUCAGUCGAAGAUACCAGCUGGCUGCAACUGUUUAUUAAAAACACAGCACUGUGCAAACACGAAAGUGGACGUAUACGGUGUGACGCCUGCCCGGUGCCGGAAGGUUAAUUGAUGGGGUCAGCGCAAGCGAAGCUCCUGAUCGAAGCCCCGGUAAACGGCGGCCGUAACUAUAACGGUCCUAAGGUAGCGAAAUUCCUUGUCGGGUAAGUUCCGACCUGCACGAAUGGCGUAAUGAUGGCCAGGCUGUCUCCACCCGAGACUCAGUGAAAUUGAACUCGCUGUGAAGAUGCAGUGUACCCGCGGCAAGACGGAAAGACCCCGUGAACCUUUACUAUAGCUUGACACUGAACAUUGAGCCUUGAUGUGUAGGAUAGGUGGGAGGCUUUGAAGUGUGGACGCCAGUCUGCAUGGAGCCGACCUUGAAAUACCACCCUUUAAUGUUUGAUGUUCUAACGUGGACCCGUAAUCCGGGUUGCGGACAGUGUCUGGUGGGUAGUUUGACUGGGGCGGUCUCCUCCUAAAGAGUAACGGAGGAGCACGAAGGUUGGCUAAUCCUGGUCGGACAUCAGGAGGUUAGUGCAAUGGCAUAAGCCAGCUUGACUGCGAGCGUGACGGCGCGAGCAGGUGCGAAAGCAGGUCAUAGUGAUCCGGUGGUUCUGAAUGGAAGGGCCAUCGCUCAACGGAUAAAAGGUACUCCGGGGAUAACAGGCUGAUACCGCCCAAGAGUUCAUAUCGACGGCGGUGUUUGGCACCUCGAUGUCGGCUCAUCACAUCCUGGGGCUGAAGUAGGUCCCAAGGGUAUGGCUGUUCGCCAUUUAAAGUGGUACGCGAGCUGGGUUUAGAACGUCGUGAGACAGUUCGGUCCCUAUCUGCCGUGGGCGCUGGAGAACUGAGGGGGGCUGCUCCUAGUACGAGAGGACCGGAGUGGACGCAUCACUGGUGUUCGGGUUGUCAUGCCAAUGGCACUGCCCGGUAGCUAAAUGCGGAAGAGAUAAGUGCUGAAAGCAUCUAAGCACGAAACUUGCCCCGAGAUGAGUUCUCCCUGAGACUUUAGGUCUCCUGAAGGAACGUUGAAGACGACGACGUUGAUAGGCCGGGUGUGUAAGCGCAGCGAUGCGUUGAGCUAACCGGUACUAAUGAACCGUGAGGCUUAACCUUACAACGCCGAAG